CUACGGGGUGCUGCAGUGGGGAAUAUUGGGCAAUGGAGGCAACUCUGACCCAGCAACGCCGCGUGGAGGAUGAAGCAUUUCGGUGUGUAAACUCCUUUUAUCAGAGAAGAUAAUGACGGUAUCUGAUGAAUAAGCACCGGCUAACUCCGUGCCAGCAGCCGCGGUAAUACGGAGGGUGCAAGCGUUACUCGGAAUCACUGGGCGUAAAGGGUGCGUAGGCGGAUUAGUAAGUCUUGUGUGAAAUCCUACGGCUUAACCGUAGAACUGCAUGGGAAACUGCCAAUCUAGAGUGUGAAAGAGGCAGGUGGAAUUAGUGGUGUAGGGGUAAAAUCCGUAGAUAUCACUAGGAAUACCGAUGGCGAAGGCGACCUGCUGGAGCAUAACUGACGCUGAGGCACGAAAGCGUGGGGAGCAAACAGGAUUAGAUACCCCGGUAGUC
rnacentral:rRNA from 1 species